rnacentral:rRNA from 1 species
GUGGGGAAUAUUGGACAAUGGGCGCAAGCCUGAUCCAGCCAUGCCGCGUGAGUGAUGAAGGCCUUAGGGUUGUAAAGCUCUUUCAGUGGGGACGAUAAUGACGGUACCCACAGAAGAAGCCCCGGCUAACUUCGUGCCAGCAGCCGCGGUACUACGAAGGGGGCUAGCGUUGUUCGGAUUUACUGGGCGUAAAGCGCACGUAGGCGGAUCGUUAAGUCGGGGGUGAAAUCCUGGAGCUCAACUCCAGAACUGCCUUCGAUACUGGCGAUCUUGAGUCCGGAAGAGGUGAGUGGAACUCCUAGUGUAGAGGUGGAAUUCGUAGAUAUUAGGAAGAACACCAGUGGCGAAGGCGGCUCACUGGGCCGGUACUGACGCUGAGGUGCGAAAGCGUGGGGAGCAAACAGGAUUAGAAACCCGUGUAGUCC